UGAAUACGAGAUGCUACGGCGUCGAAGCAGUGUAUGUCAGACUUCCAAGAAAAUCUCGCAAUGUCAUAAAUAAAGAAUGCCUGUACCAUAACCGACACAGGUGGGUAGGUAGAGUAUACUAAGGGGCGCGAGAUAACUCUCUCUAAGGAACUCGGCAAAAUAACUCCGUAACUUCGGGAGAAGGAGUGCCUUCUUUAAGAAGGUUGCAAUAACAAGAUCCAAGCAACUGUUUAUCAAAACACAGGUCUCCGCUAAGUCGUAAGACGAUGUAUGGGGGCUGACGCCUGCCCAGUGCCAGAAGGUUAAAGGAGUUGGUUAGCUUUUGCGAAGCUGAUGACUGAAGCCCUGGUGAACGGCGGCCGUAACUAUAACGGUCCUAAGGUAGCGAAAUUCCUUGUCGGGUAAGUUCCGACCCGCACGAAAGGCGUAAUGAUUUGGAUACUGUCUCGGAGAGGGACUCGGUGAAAUAGACUUGUCUGUGAAGAUGCGGACUACCUGCACCAGGACAGAAAGACCCUAUGAAGCUUUACUGUAACUUGAAAUUGAAAUUGGACUUUAUUUGCGCAGUAUAGGUGGAAGGCGUUGAAAGUAAUCUUGCGGGAUUAGUGGAGCCAUCAGUGAGAUACCACUCCUAUAAUGUUAGAUUUCUAACUUUGGAUCAUGAUCUGGUCAAAGAACAGUUUCAGGCGGGCAGUUUGACUGGGGCGGUCGCCUCCCAAAUGGUAACGGAGGCAUACAAAGGUUUCCUCUGAACGGGUAGAAAUCGUAUCUAGAGUGUAAAGGCAUAAGGAAGCUUGACUGUGAGACCUACAAGUCGAGCAGGGACGAAAGUCGGUCUUAGUGAUCUGACGGUGCUGAGUGGAAAGGCCGUCACUCAACGGAUAAAAGUUACUCUAGGAUAACAGGCUGAUCUCCCCCAAGAGUUCACAUCGACGGGGAGGUUUGGCACCUGAUGUCGGCUCAUCGCAUCCUGGGGCGGUAGUACGUCCCAAGGGUUGGGCUGUUCGCCCAUGAAAGCGGUACGCGAGCUGGGUUCAGAACGUCGUGAGACAGUUCGGUCCAUAUCCGGUGUAGGCGUUAGAAUAUUGAGAGGAGCCUUCUUUAGUACGAGAGGACCGAGAAGGACAUACCUCUGGUGUACCAGUUAUCGUGCCAACGGUAAACGCUGGGUAGCUAUGUAUGGAGAGGAUAACCGCUGAAAGCAUCUAAGUGGGAAGCCCACCUCAAGAUGAG
rnacentral:rRNA from 1 species